rnacentral:rRNA from 1 species
UAGGGAAUCUUCCGCAAUGGGCGAAAGCCUGACGGAGCAACGCCGCGUGAGUGAUGAAGGUCUUCGGAUCGUAAAACUCUGUUAUUAGGGAAGAACAAAUGUGUAAGCAACUAUGCACGUCUUGACGGUACCUAAUCAGAAAGCCACGGCUAACUACGUGCCAGCAGCCGCGGUAAUACGUAGGUGGCAAGCGUUAUCCGGAAUUAUUGGGCGUAAAGCGCGCGUAGGCGGUUUUUUAAGUCUGAUGUGAAAGCCCACGGCUCAACCGUGGAGGGUCAUUGGAAACUGGAAAACUUGAGUGCAGAAGAGGAAAGUGGAAUUCCAUGUGUAGCGGUGAAAUGCGCAGAGAUAUGGAGGAACACCAGUGGCGAAGGCGACUUUCUGGUCUAUAACUGACGCUGAUGUGCGAAAGCGUGGGGAUCAAACAGG